GGAGUUGUAGCUCAGCGGUAGAGCACUCGUCUAGCACCUGUGAGGCCCUGGGUUCGAUCCUCAGCACCA
rnacentral:tRNA from 1 species